rnacentral:lncRNA from 1 species
UUUGUAAUUUCUUCUUUGGAUGAAUGAUGAAGGAGAUAUGAUGAGCGAAAGCAUUAAAGAAACUCAAGAGGAGUUUCCAUGGAUUGAAGUGGAGUUAGGAAUUUGUGAGAGUGAGAGGUGAGGCCAACUCACUAGGAAAGAGUCUAGGCUAAGUCUUGAAGGAGACUAACCUAGGGAGAACUUAAGAACGAGUAGAAUGGCCAAAAUUAGGCAGCAUUUCAUUACUAAUUCCAAGUUAAAGAAAUACAUGUAUAAGAGACUCCUAUUUAUAGGAGAAAGUCUCUCAAAAACUCUCAAAUGAGAGUGUGACAAGUGUCACCACCUUAUUGGUGCAAAUCCUCUCCAUUAAGGAGAAGACAUGUGGAGACUCAUGUCUUCCUUGCCUACAUUUCUAUUUGCACCCCUUUUUUACUAUUUUACACAUUACUUUGUUUUCUAUUUACAUCUUUCUCUACUUUGGCCCAAAAUACAAGGCCCAAAACUUCCUAACUACUCUAUACAAUUUUUACAAGGCUAAGAAGAAGAAAAAGACUUUACAAGCUCUUCAUUAAAGCUCGAUCUUCGUCUAUCUUCUUGGCCGAAAGUUUUGAGGCUGGACGGUUUCCAUCAUCCCCACCCUCUUGAAAAGGAUCUGUCCUCAGAUCUGAAUGAUGCUCAAUGACAACAGCCUCUGUUUAUUUGAUGUUUUCCUCCUGGGUCAAAUGUCAAUCUACAAUAAACAUCAAACAAACAUGAGAUCAAUUUCUUUUUUAAAAGAAAAUUAAAACAAAAGAAAACUAAACAAAAAUAAGGCCCUUUAUCUUUAAAUUUCUUUUUAAAGAAAAACAUAAGGUCCCUUUCAAAAAUAUUUUUAUUCACUUUGUGUUGUUUAUUGCCCAAGCUAGGCAACAACAUCACAAAGUUUGGUUUUUGAGAUUUUUGUAAAGAAGAAUGAGCAUUAUAUAAUUGAAAAGAAGAGUUCAAAGUAUUGCAAUCCCCCUUUAAGGAUUCUUUCUUAGCCAUGCUUUGAAGGAGUGUCAUAAAAGGCUCUUCUUCUUUGUGGGUUUCCUCUUCUUCCUUUUCAAUCAAACAUUCUUCUGUAUUUUUUGUGGAGGAAAUAUUUAUAUCUAUAUCUGGUUCAGCUCCAAACAUAGAUUUUUCUUCAAGCACAUCCUUACAAGGGUUUUCUAGAGAAGAUAAAAUGUUAUCGAUAAUUGAUUCAACUCCAGAAAAAGAGUUUUUUGUACUUUCCUUUUCUAUCAUCACUUUUUCUCUAUUUUCUUUCUCUUCUCUAUCUUUCCUUUCGUUCUCCUCUCUUUCCCUUUUCUCCUUCUCUUCUUUCUUUCUGUCAAGAGCUUGGAAUUUUUCUCUAAACUCCUUUUCUCUUCUAACAUAUUAUUUUUCUCUGUAUAUAAAAUUUCUUCCUUUUUCUACAAGCUCUUUCAUUUCUUCUCUAAGCUUUUUCUUUUUCACAUAUGAAGGUGGAACAAACUUUCUUCUCAUACACAUCUUCAAUUCAUCCCAAUUAAGUACUUCUGAUUUUCUGCCAUUAAUAACAUCAGUUUCCCUUUUUGUCCACCAAGACCUAGCAUAUUCUUGAAAACUUAGGGUAGCCAUGGAAAAUCUACUAAAUUCAUCCAAUUGAUGUUUUUCAAAGAUUUGAUCAACUUUUGUUUCCCAUUCUAAAUAUGCUUCAACAUUUUUAUUUCCAUCAAAGUAAGGAAUGUAUACUUCAGGCUCGGUAGAAUAAUAUAAACUUCUAUGCUCAAAACACAUCCCUUCCUUUUUUUGAUAAUGAGGGUUAUAAAUCUUUCUUCUACUAGGAUGAUAAGUAUACAUAGACAUAUUAAGCUUUGUAUUUAAAAGAUUUUUCAGAAGAAGGAAAGUGAGUUUAGCACACAAGGUAAAUUCCCAAGAAAGAGAGGUGGGUCACAAUGGACACUCUUAAGUACCAAGUCUUUCCUAGCUAAAACUUAUCCCAAUGCACUUCACAAAUCUCCUUGCAAUGAAAACUUCUUCAACACAAACAAAGAGUUUUCUAAAGAAAGAAACUAAAAGAAAGCUUUUAAAAACUAAGAAUUUAAAUUGCAAAAAUUUAAACUAGACGACUCCUAAUGGUGAGGCUUGUUGGCACUUGUGAACCUUCAAGACACACUCACCGUCUAAAGCGUGUAUCUAAUAAGAAAAUUAAAGAAAACUUGUAGGAGAUAGAAGAACACCAAAGGCUCUUCCAAGACACCUAAAGUAAAGAUAAUGGCCAAAUUACAAAACAAUUGAAAUCACGCAAAAUUUAAAAAAAAAAAAAAAUCUUCAAAGUUCUCUUCUCUUCUCUCACAAGUGUUUCUCUCCAAGCUUUUACUUGUUUGUCCUCCAAAGGUGAGUACCCCUUGCAAAGUCUUUUGCCUUCUCUUAGGAUGCUACCUAGAAGUUAGCUCAAUUCUCACAAAGAACAAAUUCAAGGUAUAUUUCACUUCAAGAGGUCAAUAAUAAAAGCAAUAAAUGCUCAAUUUGAAGAGUGAAACUCAAAGGAGAUUAGAGAUGACAAACACAAAGAUUAUCCAUAAAAUCAAGACAAGCAAGAAAUUAAAGGUUUUCAAGAAAGUAGGCACUCAAAAGAAAAUAGCUAAAGAUAGGCACUAGAAUGGAUUACAAAAAAUAAAAAAUAAAAAAAUAUCAUUUUUUUUCAAUGUGCAUAAGACCCAAACACCAAAUGAUGAUCCUAUAUGUUUUGGCCCAAAAUGCAAUUGGGCAGAAUUUGUUUCCACUUUUCUAAUCCCAAUCUCGUGGCCCCACAGAAAGUCCUCAAUCGCUGAAUUCUUUCAUCAAAAUCAUGCUUCAAUACUGCACCGUUUCUGCUUGUGUGCCAAGAUUCAAUUCUUCAAAAGCACUAUUCAGCAAACCAUGGACCCCACCAUGUGAAUGUCAAUUUCUUGCCAAAUUGAACAACUUCACGUUCUCGCAGCCACCUAUACUUUGCUCUAAUACCAAAUGAUGGAAAAACGUUCUUCAUCUAUUAGGGAUCUUUGUAAUUUCUUCUUUGGAUGAAUGAUGAUGGAGAUAUGAUGAGCGGAAGCAUUAAAGAAACUCAAGAGGAGUUUCCAUGGAUUGAAGUGGAGUUAGGAAUUUGUGAGAGUGAGAGGUGAGGCCAACUCACUAGGAAAGAGUCUAGGCUAAGUCUUGAAGGAGACUAACCUAAGGAGAACUUAAGAACAAGUAGAAUGGCCAAAAUUAGGCAGCAUUUCAUUACUAAUUCCAAGUUACUUCUUGCAAAUCCACACCAAAUUUUGUCAAUUGCCACCACCAGAAUUUGCUUUCUAAAUAAAUUGAAUUGUCGCUUGAACACUACACCAUUAUCCUCACAAAAGUAAUUAUUGGAACUAAUUCAACUCAUCACUCCACUGGUUCUGCACAUACUUCCCAAUUUUGACCCAAAGUGCAACUUCAAAGCAAAUUAAACACUAAUUGUGUUCCAGAAUCAACUAAAUUGUUGUUAAUUCAAUUCCAAUUCAGCACUGCAAUUAAACCA